GUCCAGACUCCUACGGGAGGCAGCAGUGGGGGAUAUUGCACAAUGGGGGGAACCCUGAUGCAGCGACGCCGCGUGGGUGAAGGAGUGCUUCGGCAUGUAAAGCCCUAUCGGCAGGGAAGAAGCAAGACGGUACCUGACUAAGAAGCCCCGGCUAACUACGUGCCAGCAGCCGCGGGAAUACGUAGGGGGCAAGCGUUAUCCGGAUUUACUGGGUGUAAAGGGAGCGUAGACGGCAUAGCAAGUCUGAAGUGAAAGCCCGUGGCUCAACCGCGGAACUGCUUUGGAAACUGUUAAGCUGGAGUGUCGGAGAGGCAGGCGGAAUUCCUAGUGUAGCGGUGAAAUGCGUAGAUAUUAGGAGGAACACCAGUGGCGAAGGCGGCCUGCUGGACGAUGACUGACGCUGAGGCUCGAAAGCGUGGGGAGCAAACAGGAUUAGAUACCCUAGUA
rnacentral:rRNA from 1 species